rnacentral:rRNA from 1 species
UACGUAGGGGGCAAGCGUUGUCCGGAAUCAUUGGGCGUAAAGAGCGUGUAGGCGGUUCGGUAAGUCUGCUGUGAAAGUCCAGGGCUCAACCCUGGAAAGCCGGUGGAUACUGUCGGACUAGAGUGCGGAAGAGGCGAGUGGAAUUCCCGGUGUAGCGGUGAAAUGCGCAGAUAUCGGGAGGAACACCAAUUGCGAAGGCAGCUCGCUGGGACGUGACUGACGCUGAGGAGCGAAAGCGUGGGGAGCGAACAGG